rnacentral:rRNA from 1 species
GAGUUUGAUCAUGGCUCAGGGUGAACGCUGGCGGCGUGCUUAACACAUGCAAGUCGAGCGAAGCGUAUUUGCGGAAGUUUUCGGAUGGAAGCGGAUGCGACUUAGCGGCGGACGGGUGAGUAACGCGUGGGCAACCUGCCUCAUACAGGGGGAUAACAGUUAGAAAUGACUGCUAAUACCGCAUAAGCGCACAGGACCGCAUGGUCUGGUGUGAAAAACUCCGGUGGUAUGAGAUGGACCCGCGUCUGAUUAGCUGGUUGGCGGGGUAACGGCCCACCAAGGCGACGAUCAGUAGCCGACCUGAGAGGGUGGCCGGCCACAUUGGGACUGAGACACGGCCCAAACUCCUACGGGAGGCAGCAGUGGGGAAUAUUGCACAAUGGGGGAAACCCUGAUGCAGCAACGCCGCGUGAGUGAAGAAGUAUUUCGGUAUGUAAAGCUCUAUCAGCAGGGAAGAAGAAAGACGGUACCUGACUAAGAAGCCCCGGCUAACUACGUGCCAGCAGCCGCGGUAAUACGUAGGGGGCAAGCGUUAUCCGGAUUUACUGGGUGUAAAGGGAGCGUAGACGGCAUAGCAAGUCUGAAGUGAAAGCCCGUGGCUCAACCGCGGAACUGCUUUGGAAACUGUUAAGCUGGAGUACUGGAGAGGCAAGCGGAAUUCCUAGUGUAGCGGUGAAAUGCGUAGAUAUUAGGAGGAACACCAGUGGCGAAGGCGGCUUGCUGGACAGAGACUGACGUUGAGGCUCGAAAGCGUGGGGAGCAAACAGGAUUAGAUACCCUGGUAGUCCACGCGGUAAACGAUGAAUGCUAGGUGUUGGCGGGCAAAGCCCGUCGGUGCCGCCGCAAACGCAUUAAGCAUUCCACCUGGGGAGUACGUUCGCAAGAAUGAAACUCAAAGGAAUUGACGG